rnacentral:lncRNA from 1 species
AUUUGCUCUGAUUUACUCAGUUAUCACUAGCCAAUUGUCAUCUGAUAUUUUAGUUUACCAAAUAGUAUGUAGAGUCAAUGUAUAUUUGUCAUUUGACUAUUUUACAGCAUUUUUUCCUGAGAAAAGCUGCAUCAUUUGAAAAUAUCCAAAAACAUUUCAGCACACAGUCUACUCAAUUAAAGAGAGUAAAAUCUGCAGUUGAGUUGAAUAAGGACGAGACCAUAGUUCUAUCAGAAUUUCAGGAUGACAUGCAAAGCAAUAUAAAAGAGGUGAAGCUUCAAAAAGCAAAGGAGUUGGAGCGUUGGAUGACUGAGAAAAACGAAGCUAAGGAAUCUGUCUCUGAGAAAGAAAGUAUAGAUACUAUCUUAGACUACAUGCACGGCAGAUAUGGUUCAAGAGACCUGUCUUUCACUCUUAUUGAAGCAUCUCGACAAGCUGGCAUUAGUUACAUUGUUUAUCCCAAGAAAAAGAAGAUGAGACGGAGGAAAGGACUGAGACUCAGUAAACUUACACUUGUGUAUGAUGAGUUAUCCAAGCCUCCAAAAACUCUUAAAAGGUCUUGUUUAAUCAACAUUUGUUAUAGCUUAAGAAAUAUAUUAUGGUUUGGGCCUUAG